UCGUGUUUCAAUCUAAAUUCUAAAGCCCUGUUUCUCUCUUCUCUUGUCGUGAAUCGCCUCCAUCCACAUGAAGGUUGCACUGAAUCUCUCUCUAUCCACCCUUGCGAGUCCUCUCCGUCGAAUGCUCCUGCAUCUUCGUGUAUCAUUGCCGUUUUGGUUCGAGUUUGGAGGUUUCAACUCAGUUUAGAGUUUGGAUUCGAGCAGCUUUUUCACAGUUUGAUUGUGAUUCGAUUUUGGUGAAGAGUUUGAAUUAAAAUUAACACGAGUAUACAACUUCAUAAACCUAAAUUGGAUGAGCACUUACCAGUUGAAAUGAAGAAAAAUGCGGAUUUCGUUCUCGCUCGCAAGGUGUUCGAUGAAAUGUCCCAACCGGAUUAUUUCUUUCUCGCUUGCUCAUAUUGCGGCACUAGAGGUUGAUCCUCCAGGAUGCGCUUUUAAUCCCACGCAUGAAAGUCAUCAGAAUCUUUCAGACGAAGGACUUGAAUGUAUUUUGAAAUGCAAGAACCUUGUAUCCCUCAAUCUGACUUGGUGUGUACGUGUGACCGAUAAGGGAGUUAUAGCUGUUGCUCAGAGUUGCACCUCUCUUGAAUUUGGUUUGUGGUUUGAGCUUUGUUUCUGCAGGUAACAUUAGGGCUGAGAUAGUUAAAUUUCUUCUUGAGUGGUAAGGAUCAGAGAGAGUUGAGAUGGACGCUACGACGACAUGCAGGCUGGCUGUUGUAUCAAGGUUUGAUUUAUGAUUCGGAAAAUUGGUCUUUUGAUUCAAUUUUGAGCUGAUGUUUUCAGAAACUCUAUGAAAUUAGUCGAGAUUCUUUACUGCUUGUAACUAUUAUGACAAGGAAUUUGGUCUGGACAUGAUAACAAACAUGAAAAAUAAAAUGUUUCAUUUGCCAAUUUGAUCAUUAACAUAAAUCUAGUCUCACUUGCAUAACAGUGGCAUAUAUCUCAAAUAUAAGUGCUUUCACUUUAAAAAGUUGUCUUUUUUUAGAAUUUCCCUAUAUAGAAUGCGGUAAAUGUUCAUAUUCAAUCUUAUAUUCAUAAAAAAUUAAUCGUGCUAACAUUUAGGCCUCCAUAUAUCCUUUAGCUCCUCUGUUGCUUGGACUGAAACUAAUUUAGACUGGACUCAACAAUCUUGAUUAACACAUCCUGUAUCUGUUCAAAACAGUAUGAGGGAUACACUUUUAUUCUUCACUGUGCAACCUAGAAAACAGUGGCAUAUAUGAGUUUCGAUGGAAUAUCAACAUGAAUCUCAACCACAUGUUUUCUUUUGAGCAACUCACCACCGGAACUCUUUAUCUCUCCACUGGGGGAAGCUAUGAUUGUAAAGUGAAAGGUAGGACCUGGAACUUCCUUCUUUGAUGUCAUUUCCAAAGCAAUUGGAAGGAUUGAUAUCUUCUUAGAAAGGACCUGGGCAUGCUUUGUAGAUGUGUGCUACCAACAUAUUAAGGGUUGAAGGGAAUUCUGCCAGUAUGAAUAUUACUGCAACUCAGAAGUUCAUGCCGCGGUGGACAUCAUAGGGGAAAAGUGAUUUCAUCUACGGUUUUGCCAGAUGUUCAGCCUCCCAUGGAUGCUGUGGAGUAUGCUGAAUGUGAAGCUGUUGUGAAGGACUUUCCUCCGUUUCAAGAGGCAAUGAAGAAGAGAGGAAUUGAAGAUAUGGAUCUUGUGAUGGUUGAUCCUUGGUUAGUUAGCUACUACAUCAAGAUAAU